GAUGAACGCUGGCGGCGUGCCUAAUACAUGCAAGUCGAACGCUGAAGGCAGGAGCUUGCUCUUUCCGGAUGAGUUGAGAACGGGUGAGUAACGCGUAGGUAACCUGCCUGGUAGCGGGGGAUAACUAUUGGAAACGAUCGCUAAUACCGCAUAACAGUAGAUGUUGCAUGAUAUCUACUUAAAAGGUGCAAUUGCACCACUACCAGAUGGACCUGCGUUGUAUUGGCUAGUUGGUGAGGUAACGGCGCAUCAAGGCGACGUUACAUAGCCGACCUGAGAGGGUGGUCAGCCAGACUGGGACGGUGACACGCCCCAGUGGCCUUCAGGAGGCAGCAGUAGGGAAUCGGCGGCAAGGGGCGGAGGUCUGAGCGAACAGCGCGGCAGGAGUAAAGAAGGAUUUCGGGUCGGAAAUCACUGUUGUAAGAGAAGAACGAGUGUUAGAGUGGAAAGUUCACACUGUGACGGUAACUUAUCAGAAAGGGACGGCUAACUACGUG
rnacentral:rRNA from 1 species